rnacentral:rRNA from 1 species
UCCGUAGGUGAACCUGCGGAAGGAUCAUUACAGUAGUCGCCCGGGUUGCCGCAAGGCCUCCCGGGUAACCUACCACCCUUUGUUUAUUACACUUUGUUGCUUUGGCAAGCCUGCCCUCGGGCUGCUGGCUCCGGCCGGCGAGCGCUUGCCAGAGGACCUAAACUCUGUUUGUCUAUAUUGUCUGAGUACUAUAUAAUAGUUAAAACUUUCAACAACGGAUCUCUUGGUUCUGGCAUCGAUGAAGAACGCAGCGAAAUGCGAUAAGUAAUGUGAAUUGCAGAAUUCAGUGAAUCAUCGAAUCUUUGAACGCACAUUGCGCCCCCUGGUAUUCCGGGGGGCAUGCCUGUCCGAGUGUCAUUACAACCCUCAAGCUCAGCUUGGUGUUGGGCCCCGCCGCCCCGGCGGGCCCUAAAGUCAGUGGCGGUGCCGUCCGGCUCCGAGCGUAGUAAUUCUUCUCGCUCUGGAGGUCCGGUCGUGUGCUUGCCAGCAACCCCCAAUUUUUUUCAGGUUGACCUCGGAUCAGGUAGGGAUACCCGCUGAACUUAAGCAUAUCAAUAAGCGGAGGAA